rnacentral:lncRNA from 1 species
CUUCUGUAAAGAAACAACUCAGAUGUUAAUUGAGAAUAAUUUAAUUGUCGUAUCAUUUGUUACAUAUGCUGCACUUAGCCAAAUAAUCACUUAACAAUUCAGAAACUUCUUUGUUUUUCACAAAUGAUUUUAAAAAAAUGUUCAUGGUGAAGCAGCCUAGCCUUGAAAUGAAAAGUUAGUAUACAUACAGAAGAUUGCCUGUCAUACACCAAGCAAAUCAGUUAAAAAAAAGCAGUAGAAACUGGACUGGAUUUGUGGCUCAGUGGUAGAGCUCUUGCCUAGCAUGCAUGAGUCACUGGGUUUGAUCCUUAGCACCACAUAAAAAAAAAAAAAAACUAGAUAAACAAAGGUAUUGUGUCCAUCUACAACUAAAAACAUUAAAAAAAAAAGCAGUAGAAACUGAUGCAUGUCUCAGAAUUGACUAUAUAGACAUUCUCAAAUUUAAGAGAGGGUAAUGUGUCUAAUUCAUGUGCAUGUAAGGACCAUUGCUGCGGUGCAAAACAUCCAUUUAUUGACUCCAACAUAAAGAGCCAUUUUUUUUUUCUAUUGGUGUAAUUUACUUGAAGAUAAAUUAGAAAACUUAGUUGAAUCAUGUAAACAAUACGAAGAAAAUGCUGGUAUAUGCUUCAGAAUUGUAGUGUCAAUCUUUUUCAUUUUUUUGGCACUGGGGAUUAAACCCAGAGGCAUUUUACCACUUACCACAUCCCCUGUUAAUUUUCUAUUUUGAGACAGGGUCUUGCUAAGUUGCUUAGAGCCUUGCUAAGUUGCCCAGUCUGGUUUUGAACUUGCC